UUGGAGGGCAAGUCUGGUGCCAGCAGCCGCGGUAAUUCCAGCUCCAAUAGCGUAUAUUAAAGUUGUUGCAGUUAAAAAGCUCGUAGUUGAAUUUCGGGAUCAAUAUGCCGGUCAUGCCUCGGUAUGCACUGGUAUCUUUGAUUUCUCCCUUCUGACGAACUUUGAUGUCAUUAAUUUGGUGUCAUAGGGAAUCAGGACUGUUACUUUGAAAAAGUUAGAGUGUUUAAAGCAAGCUCACGCUUGAAUACAUUAGCAUGGAAUAAUGAAAUAGGACGUUUGAUUCUAUUUUGUUGGUUUCUAGGAUCGACGUAAUGAUUAAUAGGGAUAGUUGGGGGCAUUAGUAUUCAAUUGUCAGAGGUGAAAUUCUUGGAUUUAUUGAAGACUAACUACUGCGAAAGCAUUUGCCAAGGAUGUUUUCAUUAAUCAAGAACGAAAGUUAGGGGAUCGAAGACGAUCAGAUACCGUCGUAGUCUUAACCAUAAACUAUGCCGACUAGGGAUCAGAUGAUGUUAAUUUUUUAAUGACUCAUUCGGCGCCUUACGGGAAAC
rnacentral:rRNA from 1 species